GAUAACUUACACCGUGUCUUUCUUUAUGUAUACGUCAUGUAUCUCAUGGGCUUCAUGUCUUUUCUUUGUGACAACUUGUAGUGAUUUUUUUUGUACCGGUGUGUGUUGUCGAGUGAGCUCCUCAGCAACACUUUGGAAAUCUGGUGAACGUGGUUUAAAUCAUGAAUCCGAGACUUGAAAGAGGUGCGACGCAAUGAUAAUGCGUUUCUUUUGCAUUUACCACCAAUUCAUCACUGAUUUUUUUCGUCAUGCUAUUUCCGUGCUAAUCGACGCUUCCGUUCCUUCAAUUUUAGGAUGGCCAUCGCCGCAUUAUUCUACGAGAAAAAGGCACAACGACGAAGCCACCGUUUUUACAGAGGAGCAGGAAAAGCAGGAGGAACAGAGUAGCCCGUGCAAUAGCGAGUGUCCAGUACUAGAGGAAAGAGAGGACGGGACAAUGGCGCCGUGUUACGAGGAAGAAGACUGGGAGCCAGAAUGCCGACAGGUGACUGAGUCUACAGCGGUGACGCAAAAGGACCAAUCGACUGUGAGCGCUGAGGAGGUGCGGCAUGAAGAGCGGCAAGGUGAACAGGAAGCGCCGUUGACGAUUGAGUUUGUAGCGGCGAAGCAAUGUGACCGCGAGACAAUGACAAUCGAGGGCGACUGGAGAUCAG